UUGUGACACAAACUGUAUCAUGUCUUGGCUUUCCAACUUGGUCCAGAACAGUAACAAAGCCAUUCCUCAAUGUCUUCCUGUAGGAUUAUUUCCACCGUGUUCAGAAAACUCCACAACUUGCAGUGUCUGUGCAACUUCUUCUUUUCUAGUACCAUCUGUUUUCAUUGGUGUCAAGAGGCAGAAGCGUCCAUGAAAGGCUGAUUUGCCUCCUAUGUGUGAAGAAGCACAGAACAGGUUCUUGGAGACAUGGAGGAUGAAAGAAAUCAAUAGACAGCACAACACUCAGCAUCAAACACAAACACUACUACUAAAGACAAUCUCUCCGAGACUGCUGUGACCCUGAGAUGACCAUAGUCAGUUAUUGUUCCUUCAUCUCCAUUGAGGGGAUAAGACCAACACUGAAUUGAUUCAGUCUUCACAAACUGGAGAUAGCCAUUGAUUUUCCCUCUUCUUUUCAAAAAACAGAGAGGAGCCAAUAGGUGAGCAGCUGCAGGCCCAGUGGGAGGAGCUGAUCGCAGGUCCAGUGAUAUUAUCUGGGGUCAGAAGUGAAGAACCAGGAUAUUGACCAUGCCAGUUCAGUUCUGCUUGGCUGCGCUCUGCAGAGAUGUUGGGACUGUCAGAGGAAAUAUACGGUCCUUGUCUGGAACCCAGGUGUGCUGAGGCAAAGUGUUAAAUUUGGUCAUUACUCUUGUAAUAGUGCUUCUGUGUUUCCUUCGCAAAGGGGUCAUGUGUGGGACUGCCACAACAGGGCUUUGUUUGAAAAGUUUGCAGACAUAGAUAUAGGUAGUAUCGCUUUUCAGGAGGAUUGUAUUAAAACUGCCACUAUGAAGAACAGUCAUUCCAGGUGUAAUAUAGAUCCUGUUAGAGAUCCACAACAUUUUAAAGAACACAGGGAACAUUGAGGUUGAAAUACUGAGGAUUUACAUGGAUAACUAAUAUGAGAAAAUAUCAUUAAAUCUAGGCUUUUCAGAUAAACCUUAUCUACAUGCAUUUUCUCUGCAUGUGCAUCUGCACAUUUGUUUACAUGCAGCAACAUAUGCAUGCAUGUGUUGAUUUGUCUGUGCAGACUAGGCUGGAGGCAGGGCUGGGGGGAGGAGCCGGUGUUUCUAACGGCUUUUUGAUGCAGAUAAAUGGCUUACAGAUGGCUCACUCAAUAUAUUCAAAUGAGUUAUGAAAAUAGACGACGGGCUUUUAUUAGAGGGAUGGUUCUUGUUGACAGAUGCAAUGAAACUGACAACACUUUUCUUGCUCUGAUAGAUGACAAUUGUUUGUUUUUCUACAUAGGAAGUACUUUUUGAAUCAUGUUUAUGGUUGAAUCUUUUUUAUAUUUGAGAAAUGUUAGCAAGUAAUCAGAAUGAAAUUCUUGAAUUUAUCAACUGCAACACUGGAUGGGUUAUUAACGUAGAUAAGUAUUUUUCCUGAUGUCAAUUUAAACUAAUAAUGACCUUAAGCUAAUAUUUGAAAGGAGUUAUAAAACAUGCAAAAAAGUUUUGUAUAUUGUCAGUGUGAAAUGUAUUGUGUUCAUUGUAAGUGGAGUAUGCAUUAAUCCGUCUACUAACUGGACACAAUUUUUGAUGUGGAAUAUUUUCAAAGAUGAUGUGUGUCAGUAAGUGUAAUUGAAAGCUUUUUUUUAACCCUUUACAACUAGAUUAAAUUAAUAGUCAGAUCUAGAAUUGCUAAAAGGUUCUAAUGUUGGGAUGGCACUUACUGUCAGCAUUUUCAUUUGUAUCAGUCUUAGAAAUAGAGUAUUGCAUCAAAGAUUAUUACUCAUCUAUCUUACUAAUCACCUGGCUGUGUUAGAUACUUGGUUCUGAUUGGUUGAAACCCCUUAACAGCAGUUAUCAAUUCUGAAUAGUAGAGGGGACGCCAGUGACAACUUGAUCACCAUCACACAUGUCAAAUCAAUGUACGAAAAGAAGCACAUCCACUGAGUUUCAUUUCAUCGCCUCCUGUUGACAAUCUGAUAAAAUUGUUACUUUCUGUCUGCAUUAGUAAGCAAAACAGAGUUAAAUUCAGCAAGGGAUGAAAUAAAAAAAAGAAAUUAAAGAAAACAGCAACACAGUACAGAUUUUGGUAGUGUUACUGGACAGGCUGAGAAAAGACAACACAAACAAGGGGAAGGGGAAGAGGACCUUGUACAGGUGCUUUUGUUAUUUUCUGUAUCUGUUAAGAAUGCCAUUUUCAGCGGACCCUUUAUC